GACGAACGCUGGCGGCGUGCUUAACACAUGCCAGUCGAACGGAAAGGCCCUGCUUUUGUGGGGUGCUCGAGUGGCGAACGGGUGAGUAACACGUGAGUAACCUGCCCUUGACUUUGGGAUAACUUCAGGAAACUGGGGCUAAUACCGGAUAGGAGCUCCUGCUGCAUGGUGGGGGUUGGAAAGUUUCGGCGGUUGGGGAUGGACUCGCGGCUUAUCAGCUUGUUGGUGGGGUAGUGGCUUACCAAGGCUUUGACGGGUAGCCGGCCUGAGAGGGUGACCGGGCAAAUUGGGACUGGGAUAAGGGCCAGAACCCUACGGGAGGCAGGAGGGGGGAAUAAUGCAAAAUGGGCGGAAGCCUGAUGCAGCAACGCCGCGGGCGGGAUGACGGCCUUCGGGUUGUAAACCGGUUUCGGCUGUGAAGAAGGGUGAGUGACGGUAAUGGGUAAAGAAGCAACGGCUAACUAAGUG
rnacentral:rRNA from 1 species